AUCAUUUCGUGGGCGCCGCUCCAGAGGUGAACCUGGUGCUGCCAGACCCAUUUCGCGGGCACCACACCUGUCUUGACUUGGAACUCCAUUUCGCAGGCGCCAGCCUUGAGUUGGCCCUGCGUAUUUGUGGAAUAAAUUGAUGCAAUGCGUAUUUUUGGAAUUAAUGUUUUUUGAAUAUUUAUUUAUAUAAAAAAGUCCGAUUAUACGCUUCUAUUUCAUCUUUCCGUUGCGCUUCUGCUUCUCGUCCAGAACCAGGCUGCUCCGUGUGAAAUCGCCGUUGAGAAUCGCAGAGUCGCCGAAAUCGUAGCUUUUGCUGCGUGGUUGCGUUUCAGGUUGAAGUUCUCUUUCUUGGCCCUGAACCCCUGAUUGCAGCCCAACUCAACCCAAUGGCCCAAUCUAAAUAGAAGACCAUGGAAGAAGAGCCCUAGCAGAAUAACAGUCUCUAAUCUCUUAAUCUCCCUUAUUUUUACAGUUUAUCUCCAAUUCUCCAUGGCCAAAAUUUCAAAUUUUCACCUAUCUCAAGUCUCAAUCUCUGACUUUAUCUCUCUUCCCCUCUGAAAUGUGAAUUUCGUGCGACCAAAACCCCAAUUUGGAGAGUCACCGACUCGCCGUGACUCCGUGAGGUUUGCCGCUGGUGUUAUCGACUCGGACUGGUGGUGGUGGUUGGACUGCGUGAGGCCGUGAGCGUCAUUUUGGACUCUCUUGCUCUGCCUCUCUGUCUCUGGCUCUGGAAUCUCAAUCGCUGGUCGCUGCUCUUUCCCUCCCCUUUGCUGCUAGUUCAUCAGGAAUGGCAUUGACUCAAGCUAAUGCAAGUGAAAAUUCGUCUAAAUUUAGCUUAUUUGAGAUUUAUUUUAUUUUCUGUAAAAUUAGUUUUUGCUAUUAAAUUUUUCUAAAUUUUUAUAAUUUACGAGUCAUAUUUACGUUCCGUCUUACGAUUCAACGAAUUACGAUUUUGAGUUAGCUUAACGAGUCGAGGUAAAAACUAAGAGUUCACUACCUUGGUUUUA